rnacentral:snoRNA from 1 species
AAGAAAUGAGGAUAUUUGCUAUGUCUUACUGUUACAUGAAGACAUCAGAUCCAACUCUGAUCUUGCUGCUGCU